AGUCAAUCAGUGCAGUUGGAUGGUAGAGUUCGUCUUGUGUAGUGUUAUAGCCUAUUUUGUGGGCCUUGUUGCGCCAAACGAAAGAGAACGAUAUUUUUGGAGUGUUUUGCGCUCGAACCACAUCUUCCAAGAUAUUUCGAGGUUGAAAGGAAACUAAAAUACGAAGAGUGAUGAAAACAUAAACAAUAUCAACAGAUUUGACAUCAACGGAUACCAAAAAACUUCAGGAAAAUUAAAUAUCAACAUGGCAAGUCGAAUAAAAGUUCUAUACAAUCAGAUUUUGUAAAGAAAGAUAUGUUUGUUUGGCGUGUACUUGGAGACUUUUUUCUCUUUUUUAAACAGG